rnacentral:rRNA from 1 species
GAUUAGAAGCUUGCUUCUAUGACGUUAGCGGCGGACGGGUGAGUAACACGUGGGCAACCUGCCUGUAAGACUGGGAUAACUUCGGGAAACCGAAGCUAAUACCGGAUAGGAUCUUCUCCUUCAUGGGAGAUGAUUGAAAGAUGGUUUCGGCUAUCACUUACAGAUGGGCCCGCGGUGCAUUAGCUAGUUGGUGAGGUAACGGCUCACCAAGGCAACGAUGCAUAGCCGACCUGAGAGGGUGAUCGGCCACACUGGGACUGAGACACGGCCCAGACUCCUACGGGAGGCAGCAGUAGGGAAUCUUCCGCAAUGGACGAAAGUCUGACGGAGCAACGCCGCGUGAGUGAUGAAGGCUUUCGGGUCGUAAAACUCUGUUGUUAGGGAAGAACAAGUACGAGAGUAACUGCUCGUACCUUGACGGUACCUAACCAGAAAGCCACGGCUAACUACGUGCCAGCAGCCGCGGUAAUACGUAGGUGGCAAGCGUUAUCCGGAAUUAUUGGGCGUAAAGCGCGCGCAGGCGGUUUCUUAAGUCUGAUGUGAAAGCCCACGGCUCAACCGUGGAGGGUCAUUGGAAACUGGGGAACUUGAGUGCAGAAGAGAAAAGCGGAAUUCCACGUGUAGCGGUGAAAUGCGUAGAGAUGUGGAGGAACACCAGUGGCGAAGGCGGCUUUUUGGUCUGUAACUGACGCUGAG